CUGUGGAUAGAAAUUACAGGGAAAGUUACUGGUAUGAUAAUUGUGAUUAUAUUAUAUUACUAUUAUAUUUAGUGUAUUGCUAAUCAAUAUAUUGUUACUUCCCAGGUGACAGCGGCUCACUUCAAGAGCAGGUGAAGCAAGUUGGGACAAUGUUGAAGACAUUUGCUCGCACUGGGCAAUCGGGUGCAGAUCAAACCCUAAUGCUGCGACGUCUUGGAGUUUGGCGAUGUUGUGCGUAGCAUGGACAACAAAAUGCUAUGCUGCAACAUUUCAGUGCCAAUGUGUCUGUUGGAGAGUUAUCCCUGCCAGGGGAUCUGUUACUCCCCCCUAGACACCCAGGAAGAUUUGGUGUUGCUUGACAACAGUUUGAGGCAGGAUAAAGAGCUCCAGCAACGAUUUCUUCGGUUUUUGGCAAUCAAAUGUGGGAGGGACCUAAAGACAACCAUGUGGCGAAUGCUUCAGAGUAUCUUC